CUCGGGGCAGCGCGGCGCGCGCCGCCUCGGCCCGGGCGGGACCGCGCCGAGCGAGGGGAAAGAGAGAGCGAACACUCGAGGCAGAAGCCACUUUUUACAGACUUCUGGAAAGUGCUGAAAUGAAACUCUGUGACUCAAUGCAGGUUUCCACAUCAUGAGUUUCUUCACGAGUUCCCCCAGUUAGUGUGGGCCACUGAUAACAAGACUAUUUGAGUAAGAUCCUACUGAAAAACAUUUUCUGAGAAUUAAGGUAGAACAGGAAAGACAAGAAUUGAUUGAAGUGUCUCAGUGUCCCUCCUGGGAACUGUGGAUGUAACUCUCUACAGAAUACAGGACUGUUGAUGGAGUUUACAUAUUGUGGUACGCUAGAUUUCCCCUUUUGCUCCCUGCUACAUACAAUGCUACAGUCCGGAGCCUUGGGGGACAGAAGUCUUAAGCAUGGAAAUAUGUUAACAACCAAGAUCUUUGGAAGUCAUCCCAUCCCUUCACCACAAAGACAACUGAGUGCACCUGGACCCGAGACGUGGCUUGUUAGGCUGCUUUGCAGAACAUCCACCAACACUGGCUCCAGGAUUUCCCUCUGUGUUCUGCUCCUCUUCUCCACAGCGGAUAGGCUUUCCCUCAUAUUCUGCCUACAACUUCUUUAUGGCAAGCUGAGCUCAUCAUCAUCCACCAUGCCAGCAGACAUACAGAAUGUAUGAUCGCAAUCUUCAAUAGAACAACUUUCCACUUAUUUGGCGACAACCCUUAUAUCUUCUCACAGGCUUCUAGUUUCAAGACCAGCUCUUUCAACCUGCUUUCAUGUUUUAUAAUCCUUUUAUUUUUCUUGCCCUGUUUUGAACUCUCCUCAGUUUGUCUACAUGUCUAAAAUAGUUACAGCAUUUCAGAUGAGCAGGUGAGCGUUACUUCCUUGUAUCAAGCAGAGCAAAAUAUUGAUCAUCCAUGUCUUUUUUCCCUUUGCAUCAAUAACAUACAGUAAUUGAUAACCUGAUUGUUUUGUAUAGUAAUUGGUCAAUUAUUUUCCAUUCUCUGUUUGAAACUAGGAUUUUGUUUUAGACAAGUCAUACUUUAUAAAUGUGAAUAUUCUGUACCAGGCUUGGGGAGAGGGAGAGAUGCUGAAGGGUUUUUUGGGGGAGUCUCAGUAAAAAAGGCCCAACAAAAAUGGCAUAAUAACAUGUCUGUUUUAAUAAGAUAGAAUAAAAAGAGGAGUAUAAAUAGAUAGUAAAUCUUGCAUCCUGUCAGAUACUGGGAAGCCCUUUUCAUGCAGCAUCAGGCAGACUGCAGAUACACUGCUGCCUGGCACACUGUGCAGAACCUAUCUGUGGAGAGGUUCCUCCUCACUCCCAUGCCACAGUGCCUUUUAUCAUGUGCAGCAAUCAAAGCCAUGCAUCUCCUGACAGGCUGGACUGUUACAUCCGUCAUAACGUCCGCUACCACGCAACAAAAGUCAGCAUGGAGUAGUCCAGCAGAUUCCAUGGUAACAUAUAGGCUGCCCAGCUUUAAACCCAAACCCAACAGAGCAGAUAUGGCCUGGUCAAGAUCACUAAGUCCUCAAAUACAAUGUCUUCUGCAAGCCCCCCAAUAUAAUGAAGGACACUUGGUUUUGCAUUGUUGAUUUCAAACAAUUUCUCUAGUUCUAUCAAAAUAAUACUCUAUGUGAGCACUCAAGCCCACUUUUCAGAAUCUGCCAUGGCCUCCCAUUCAUAAUGCUCUCACUCAGUCUCCGAGGUGGGUAAGCGUAACAGACCUCUUGAAGCAUCUGCUAGGAAAGAGCUCGACCUCACCUUUGUCCACCUUUUAUUUCAUCAAACACGUACAUGGGAUGGUCUUCCCUGCCUGUAGAGAAAAGUGAGAAAAUCCACUUUCUUAUUCAUCACUUUUGCCCAGUGUUUUUACUGGGGUAGGGUAAAGGAUUCAGAAAUGUGUGCAUUUUUUCCUUUUGCUUUGUAGUGAUGAAAAGAAAUCAAAAUAAGUAUUCAGCUGGGCAAAGAAAGAAUUCACUUACUCAACAUCUAGAGCUCCAUUAAGUUUCUGUCCUUUCAGAGGUCUAGAGAUCCAGGUAAAAGCAAUCAGUUGUCCUGGUGAUAGAAUUUCAAAUCUUAAUCUUGUUCUUAAAGUUCAGAAUACGGGUUUCCUGCUUAGUUUAGCACUUAGACAUUGUCAGGUACUGCAAUGAACAAAUUCAUAAGAAAUCAAAUCUCCGCCAUUUUGCAGAAUACAAGGACUAUCUUUAUGUCAAUCAGAGGAAAUGUGGGUUUGUCCAGCAAAUUCUUUAUUACUACUGAGAGGAUAAGGAUUACAGAAACAGGCUCAAGAUUUGUUCUUACUGGGUGUAGAUUUGCGUUCAGCCAUUGAACUUCUGCUGUUGAAAAAGAUGUCAAAAAACCUACACAAACAGAAAAUUGAAAAGUAGCAUGUGUGAUUCUUCAAUCAAUUGCAAAGUGAAGUAAGGAACUGAAUAACUAAUUUUUUUUUUUUACUCUUUUUGUUGUUCUUGUUGUUGCUUGAGUCUAGUGGCAAUGGUCCUGCAGCUUACAUCUCUAUAUGUGUUUACUAGAAUCAGCAAAAAAAGGUCAGCAUGUGUUGUACUAGCAUGUGUAAAAAUACAUAGAAAAUACUAAAGAAAGUGCUAAAAAUGAAAUGGUUAGAUAAAUUAAAACAUACACCUUCACCUGCAAUGUCAGCAACAAAGGACACUAGAAAUGAAUGGAGAGUGCCAUAUGAUGCAAUUCUAAAAAUAUGUGAAUUGUAUAAUUCAAAGAGAAAGAAAAGAAAUAAUAUUGUUAAAGUACAGAAGAGAAUGGAUAGUGUAAGUAGGUUACUUAGCUGUUCCUAUGUACACUCUCAGAAUAUAAAAGUAAGGAAUAGGUGUUGAAAAUGAAAGAAAACACCUAUCUUGUUAAGGUUCCAUUUCAUUCUCACCCCUUCAUAAGAACAAUAUUUCCAGAAUGGAAAAAGUACUAUGACAUCUUUUUUUUUUUUCACAUGCUCUUUCAAGUCCAUUUUUUUGAUGCUUUGUCUCAUUUCUGCCCAUCCACACACCUACACAUCACCAUUAGCUGCAUGACUACAAUGAAAGAUUCAGCAGCAAAGGGCUGCCCACUGCCCCUGAUCUGACAGCUCUUUCUGUGGCAAGCAACACGAACAGCACAAGGACCCUUUCAUCCAGUUCUGUAGAGCAGCAUGAUAAAAUUAUAGCUGGCCUGAGGACCAGGUAUUUCAUUGUUCACCCUGCUUCGCAUACUUCUCAACCACAAUGCUCCUCACAUGGACACCUCCAGUUUUCUUAAGGAAUUUUUAAAAAGGAACCCCAAAAAGAAAGCUAAUUUUUGUAUUUUCAAUGGAGUGUCACACAGUUGUCCUGUUCACAGUGUGACAGUGCAUUGGUCUCCCCAGGUAGCACCUGUUGAAGACUAUAAGUGCUUUUUUUAUUUCGGGACAAUAUUUUUCUGUAAACGGUCUUGACUCAAAAAUAAUUGAGCUGCUUCGAAGCAGACUGACAAGAUUCCUCCCUGCUUAGAAAACAGAAAUAGAAAAUUACAACACAAAAGCUAAUGAGUCACAAAAUCACUAUUUGAAAUCAAGUUUUAAAGCAAAAAACAUUUUGCAACCUCAGUAUCACUAGUGCCUAUGCAGGAAUAAAAUUUAUUAAAAUCAAAAGCAUAAGGGAGCAAAGCAGGACAAGCAAGAUAGGUUGUUUUGAACCUGUCUGUAAUAGCACCAACUAGAGUAUUGCUUAUAGAUUUCUCAGCUGGAAAAAGAGAUAAUGGAAUUCUAACAUAGAUUUUCUCCCUCUAAACCUAUUCAUGUUUCAUGGUGGAUUUUUUCCAUGAAAAGCUUUAGCUUUAUUUGAGCACAUAGGUAUCAAAUACAGGGUGAAUGAAAGCCAAUGUCUAGACAGGAGCAGCAGCACAGACUUGCAAACAGACUUUGGUGGCUAACAUAGGGUAUAGGCUGAAAUAGGAGUUUAAUGCAAACUAAGUACUUUUCAUUAGUAUCUUUAAAUCAAAAGCACAAUAGGUUGAGUUACUUAAUUUUGCUGUUUCUAUAUUGUCAGUUUACCUUACUCAAACAGCUGAAUCUUUCAGAUAUUUUUGCAGUGCUAAGAUAACCUUUAAGUAAUUUCUGGCGUUAUACUAGGAGACUAUCAGGAAGGCAAAUUUCUGCCAAGCAAGCAAACAAGAAAGUACUGAAUUUUCAUUCAUGUACCGAAAUAAUUUCAAAUGCCACAAUACACAUCAAAAAGAAUUUCAGUCCUUUCACAGAAGUCAAUAUGAUGUAGUAAUGAUAUAGGAGUGUUGAAGAGGGACUGACUACAGGACAUGUGUUUUGAAAUUAAAAGAAAAUUAAAUCAUUGCUCCCUAAAGAUCAGUAUUCUAAUUCAGGCACAUAGAACCAACAUUAAAUCAUCUUUUAAAGUACUCAAGCCCUGCCACACAGAUGUAAAACUGCAAGAUUUUAUAACUCAGUCAAGACCUUUCUGUUCUCUUAUUGAAACAAAAGAGGAAAAUGGAAGUGUGUAGGCGAUGCAGAGAUGAAAACAAAGGUUCAAAGAGGCCACUGGGCAAAGUGCAUACUAGUUCCUUACAGCUUGCAGAGCAUACUCAUGGAAAGACACUCAUCAAGCCGCAUUGUGCCUGUUCCCAAGCCUGCAUAUCAAAGAGACACAUUUUAAGCAGUGCCCAUUGAGGGUAGCAAGGCUUACCUUUCUCCACCUGUUCAGGGAACAUUUUCAAGCUGGGCUACAGUUAUGUGGUCAGCUGAGAUAGGAAGUAUGUUGAUGAUGAACAAAAGUCAUAUUCCUUUAUUAUGUAUUAAAGGGAGAAGUUGUGCUGCCUCUGUCAUUCUCCUGGAUUACUAGAAAGUAGGGCUGCUUUCCUGCUGCACUUCAGUUUGGCUGCAGACCAGUAUGCCCAGUAUGACUUGGGUGGCCUAGGGUCUUAUUAUGAGCAUCUCUCCACCUAAAGGCCAUUCCAGCCCUCUAAACAGGAAGACUAAGCUGCUGUAAGUCGAAGCACAUGUUAUUCCUUUUGCCUCUGUGUUUUAUUGUUUGUUUUCCUUUGGCUGCUGAUCAGGGCUGCCAUUUUCCUACUACAGUCACCCAACCUGAGUGCACAACAUGACAGUUCACACAAUUCUCACAAAAGACCAUAACCCUCUCUUCCUGACCUCACAAGUUAACAAAGACAUUUUGCAUGAACACUUACAGUGUCAAAAGGAGCUAGCCAACACACAGCUAACCUCUGUGUAGCUACCACCUCCAUGCCAUUUUUCUUAUAGUUUUUCCUUUAGAAACAAAACAAGCCACUCACCACAGAUAAAAAACUUGACCACUCAGAAUUCAAAGGGGUUGAGUUUCAGAGCGACAUUUCUGGUGAACUCUUGCUCCCUAUCAACCUCUUUUAUAGUUUACACUUGAAAUUUCCAGCUCAAGAUUCUCAGUUGAAUUGUUUCAGCUGUUCAUCUGAAAAGCCACCCACUCAUAAGUAAAACUGACUAUUACAAAAAUAAAAUCUUGACAAGAAACUAAUGAAAUUCAUAACUUGAGAACAAAACUAGUGCUUUAUUUUCAGGAGUAGCCUUUUUCAUUUACUACUUUACUCUUUCUCCACUAAAUAAAUAUUAAUUAUGGUGUUUAUCUAUACAAGUGCUUCAUUCUCUGUUUCCUGGAAUUCGCAAAGUUAUCCUUGGAUUUGUGAUGACAGGAAGUGCUUUUAAACAGAAUUGUAUUUUUCCAUAUGAUUUAACAGUUGCAGAGAACAUCAUGAAGCAGGCAGGAAUCUGUAUGUACUUGAUUAACACUACCAAUCUGUCAGUCCUAUGGCAUUCACCUUUAAUUGUGUUCAUUACAUAGCUUGAUUGUGUUUGAUAUUGUUAGGUUGCUAAACUUAGUAGAUGCCAUAAAUAGUGUUGCCCACAGCACAGGUCUCCUGUUCAGUAUUCAGGUCUCCUUGCAGUACUCAGGUCAGCAGUUUUUCAGUUGUCCUGUACCAUAAAUAAA